GGACGAGCUUACUUAAAAGUACCACAACAGCGGAAAUUAGCUUUUGUUCAACUGAAAGACGAUGACCUGAGCUUAUCCAUGAUAUUGGAAAUUGAUUUAAGUCAGAGUCAUAGUUUUAGUCAAAGUAUGAUCUAUUUGGGCUAUAAAUGGGAAAUCCGAAGUGGGACAUUCAUGGAAAUCUGUGUCAAUGCUGUUUCCCUUUUAUAGAUGACGUGCAAAUACUUUUCAGACUACGUUUCAUUUCAGGGCUGGGUCUUAUUUGAAUGUUUACCACCCACCUGCUGCAAAGUUCUUCCUCUUCGUGACUGAGCUGAGCAAGAGAGUAGAAGGCGAAGGAAGACGGGUAACUCGGCCUAAAAAAUGUUCACCCACCAAAGGACCUGAGCCCUAGGACCAUGCCCCAGGAUUACCUGACAUGAUGACUCCUUGCUGUCCCCAGUCCACCUGGCCGUGCUGCUGCUCCAGUUUCAACUGUUCUGCCUUCUUAUUAUUCGAACAUGCUGAUCAUUUAUGAACAUUUGAACAUCUUGGCCAUGUUCUGUUAUAAUCUCCACCCGGCACAGCCAGAAGAGGACUGGCCACCCCACAUAUGCUCUCUCUAAUUCUCUCUUUUUUUCUCUCUCUCGGAGGACCUGAGCCCUAGGACCAUGCCCCAGGACUACCUGACAUGAUGACUCCUUGCUGUCCCCAGUCCAUCUGACCAUGCUGCUGCUCCAGUUUCAACUGUUCUGCCUUAUUAUUAUACGACCAUGCUGGUCAUUUAUGAACAUUUGAACAUCUUGGCCAUGUUCUGUUAUAAUCUCCACCCGGCACAGCCAGAAGAGGACUGGCCACCCCACAUAGCCUGGUUCCUCUCUAGGUUUCUUCCUAGGUUUUGGCCUUUCUAGGGAGUUUUUCCUAGCCACCGUGCUUCUACACCUGCAUUGCUUGCUGUUUGGGGUUUUAGGCUGGGUUUCUGUACAGCACUUUGAGAUAUCAGCUGAUGUACGAAGGGCUAUAUAAAUAAAUUUGAUUUGAUUUGAUUUGGUGUCAUACCCAAGAAGACUCUAGGCUGUAAUCGCUGCCAAAGGUGCUUCAGCAAAGUAAAGGGUCUGAAGACUUAAAUGUGAUAUCAGGUUUUUUAUUUUAUUUUUAUAAAUGGGCAAAACAAUUAUUUAAAAAAACAGUUUUUGCUUUGUCAUUAUGGGGUAUUGUGUGUAGAUUGAUGAAAAAACAACUGAAUCCAUUUUAGAAUAAGGCUGUAAUGUAACAAAAUGUGGAAAAGGUCAAGGGGUCUGAAUACUUUCUGAGUGCACUGUAUCUCUGGCUGAGUCAAACAGCCUUUCUUCCACCUGAGCCAUGGCACAAAUUAAA
ensembl:lncRNA